rnacentral:rRNA from 1 species
GACGAACGCUGGCGGCGUGCCUAAUACAUGCAAGUAGAACGCACAGUUUAUACCGUAGCUUGCUACACCAUAGACUGUGAGUUGCGAACGGGUGAGUAACGCGUAGGUAACCUGCCUGGUAGCGGGGGAUAACUAUUGGAAACGAUAGCUAAUACCGCAUAAUAUUAAUUAUUGCAUGAUAAUUGAUUGAAAGGUGCAAUUGCACCACUACCAGAUGGACCUGCGCUGUAUUAGCUAGUAGGUGAGGUAACGGCUCACCUAGGCGACGAUACAUAGCCGACCUGAGAGGGUGAUCGGCCACACUGGGACUGAGACACGGCCCAGACUCCUACGGGAGGCAGCAGUAGGGAAUCUUCGGCAAUGGACGAAAGUCUGACCGAGCAACGCCGCGUGAGUGAAGAAGGUUUUCGGAUCGUAAAGCUCUGUUGUAAGAGAAGAACGGGUGUGAGAGGGAAAGUUCACACUGGA